CCUACGGGUGGCAGCAGUGAGGAAUAUUGGUCAAUGGGCGCGAGCCUGAACCAGCAAAGUCGCGUGAGGGAAGACGGUCCUAUGGAUUGUAAACCUCUUUUGUCGGGGAGCAAAAGACGCCACGUGUGGCGUUCCGAGAGUACCCGAAGAAAAAGCAUCGGCUAACUCCGUGCCAGCAGCCGCGGUAAUACGGAGGAUGCGAGCGUUAUCCGGAUUUAUUGGGUUUAAAGGGUGCGCAGGCGGAAGAUCAAGUCAGCGGUAAAAUUGGAAGGCUCAACCUCUUCGAGCCGUUGAAACUGGUUUGCUUGAGUGAGCGAGAAGUAUGCGGAAUGCGUGGUGUAGCGGUGAAAUGCAUAGAUAUCACGCAGAACUCCGAUUGCGAAGGCAGCAUACCGGCGCUCAACUGACGCUCAUGCACGAAAGUGUGGGUAUCGAACAGGAUUAGAUACCCCUGUAGUC
rnacentral:rRNA from 1 species